rnacentral:rRNA from 1 species
UACGAAGGGUGCGAGCGUUAAUCGGAAUUACUGGGCGUAAAGUGUGCGCAGGCGGCCGAGCAAGUCGAGUGUGAAAGCCCCGGGCUUAACUUGGGAAUUGCGCUCGAAACUACUUUGCUGGAGUGUGGCAGAGGAAGGUGGAAUUCCACGUGUAGCGGUGAAAUGCGUAGAGAUGUGGAGGAACACCGAUGGCGAAGGCAGCCUUCUGGGCCAACACUGACGCUCAUGCACGAAAGCGUGGGGAGCAAACAGG